AUACGAAGGGGGCUAGCGUUGUUCGGAAUUACUGGGCGUAAAGCGCGCGUAGGCGGACUGAUCAGUUGGGGGUGAAAUCCCAGGGCUUAACCCUGGAACUGCCUCUAAUACUGCCAGUCUUGAGUUCGGGAGAGGUGAGUGGAAUUCCUAGUGUAGAGGUGAAAUUCGUAGAUAUUAGGAAGAACACCAGUGGCGAAGGCGGCUCACUGGCCCGAUACUGACGCUGAGGCGCGAAAGCGUGGGGAGCAAACAGGAUUAGAAACCCUAGUAGUCC
rnacentral:rRNA from 1 species